CUAGAGAAGUAUAAAUAUAAUUUUCAAUAAUGGCGUAAGCGCAACAUAAAGUGCAGUCACGAUUUCCGCUAUAUGCAUUGUGAAGGCAGAGAGAGAGAAAGACUGCAACGUUAUUAUAACAUAAGAAGAGAACGAUUACACAACGUCACCAAUUUUUUCUAUAUUGUACAAAAUUAUUGUUUACACGCGACUGUCACAAUGUGUUGGAUGCAUAUCGAAAAGCUUUUCCAAAUAAUGACGCAUGCAAGAGCGAUACCCCGGAGGCGACAGUGAAAUCUUUACGAAAUUCUCUCGACUCAGUCGAUUGAUCUUGCGAGAUCGAAUUAGAAAUUUGAUUACGAGGCAAAUGGAGACAGAGAGAGGCCGUAUAAAAACUCGGUUUCCGGGUUUUUGGUUACCGAAAUUCACUGACAGGACUAGUGUGAAAUGACAUACGAGGAGAUGAUGAGACGUGCCUCUUCAUCAUCCAUUGACCGCGCGCAAUUCACGGAUGUGCGCACGUGCGCAUGCGCAGACGUGGACGCGGUCAGUCCGAAUGAAAAAGUGUAACAAGAUCAGAAGAGCGCGGAUUACGUAAACCGCGCGGUGGAAAGAAGACGAAGACGAAGAAGAAGAAGAGAAGCUCGAAUACUUCUUUUUAUUUCAUAUCCAACAUCGAGAACGAGCCGUAUACUUUCACUUUCGUAAUUAACGCGGAUGGCUGUAACGGAGCGCACGAUGGCUUAUAUACACUCCUAAGUCCGACGAGGGAAGGAACCGAGAAAGGGAUCGAUGGAACACGCAGGAAGAUUCGAAGAUACAGAUCCUUCUUACUCGAAAUAUACUCGGGCGAGAGAAUAGAAACCGCUGCUUCUAUCAAUGUCACGAGACAAUGAACCACCUCGGGGCGACCGAGUUACGUUUCCAACUCUCGUAACAGCAGCCUCAGGUAUCCGUUUGGAUAGCCCGUUCCGCACGGCUUGAAUAACAUAUAAUAAUACCGGCUAUGACGUAUAUAGUAGUCGAUUUCACUUUUAGCCAGACUCGUAUCAAAGAACCGUUGCUGCUGGUGCUGCAUCUCUUUCUCUCCCGUCUUAUUCGAACGAUCGAUUCCGUUGAGAAGCCUUUGUUACUAGUAGGCUUCUUCAUCAACGCGGAUAGGAAUAAUUUCAUCGCGUGCGCGACGACGAUUCCACUAACCGGGGAAUCAAUCUUAAUAUCUCAACCGCAUCGCUGCGCGAAUUUACGUGACGAAGAAUUUUCUUUGUUUUCAUUCUGCAUAAAGAAAUUGCGAAACAUAUUCGAGAUCUCGUCUGGACCCUGUAUUCCGGACGGUGGCAGAUGUUUUUGCUUCAUAAUUAUUAAUUUUAAAAAAUUCCAAAUUAUAUUUUCAUUGAAGUUAAUUGAACAUUACAAAUUACACUUUAUUUCUACCAAGUAUUACAUAUUGAAAAUGUCAUGAUAUUAUUUUAUCCGAAAAAUCAUGUAUGCACAAGAUCAACUUAUAAAUCUAGAUCAACUUAUAAAGCUUUAUAGUCAAAUAUGAUCGGAGAGAAGAGGAGAAGAGAGAGAACAGGGCUUG